GUGACCUCAAAUCAGGUAGGACUACCCGCUGAACUUAAGCAUAUCAAUAAGCGGAGGAAAAGAAACUAACAAGGAUUCCCCUAGUAACUGCGAGUGAAGCGGGAAAAGCUCAAAUUUAAAAUCUGUCAGUCUUUGGCUGUCCGAGUUGUAAUCUAGAGAAGUGUUAUCUGCGCUGGACCGUGUACAAGUCUCCUGGAAUGGAGCGUCAUAGAGGGUGAGAAUCCCGUCUCUGACACGGACUGCCAGGGCUUUGUGAUGCGCUCUCAAAGAGUCGAGUUGUUUGGGAAUGCAGCUCAAAAUGGGUGGUAAAUUCCAUCUAAAGCUAAAUAUUGGCGAGAGACCGAUAGCGAACAAGUACCGUGAGGGAAAGAUGAAAAGAACUUUGGAAAGAGAGUUAAACAGUACGUGAAAUUGCUGAAAGGGAAACGCUUGAAGUCAGUCGCGUUGUCCAGGGAUCAACCUUGCUGUUGCUUGGUGUACUUUCUGGUUAACGGGUCAGCAUCAAUUUUGAUCAUUGGAAAAAGGUUAGGGGAAUGUGGCAUCUUUGGAUGUGUUAUAGCCCUUGAUUGUAUACAAUGGUUGGGAUUGAGGAACUCAGCACGCCGCAAGGCCGGGUUUUAACCACGUACGUGCUAGAUG
rnacentral:rRNA from 1 species